rnacentral:lncRNA from 1 species
UUGAAAAUAUUAGCCUAAGAACCAAGUCUCCAACUGCAAAAGACUUAGUUCUAACUUUUUUAUUGUACGCAUUGCGUACUCGGCUCUGAUAAACUUGUAAAUAAUUUAACGCUAUCAGUCGAGUUUCAUUCAUUUUUUCUAUUCUUUCAUUCAUUAUAACAUUAUAUUCAUCAGUCGUCAGUUCUUUUUGUUUUUCUACUCUUAAGAAGGAAACUGUUAUUUCGGCAGGUACCACGGCC